GCAGGAUAACCACAAAUGGUAGACCACCAUGAGAAUCAUCGAUAGGUUAUUUAGAAUGGUCACGAGACUUGUCAGUUAAGAAGACCCAGUGACGUAAGAAUCUUAUAUCAACAGAAGAACCCUCGAUUUUGAUGGAAACAUUAUGAAUAUAAUGGAAGAACUUCACCAAAGAAGUUACCAUGAAGAAUGUGACGAGCGAGAUGCCAAGACCCCAGAGGAUUGUUAAAAAUUUGAGCGACCAGUAACUCUCAUUUUAAGUGUGGUAGCACCCCACUUUGCAGGAUACUAGAUUUGUUAGAAGACCCCC
rnacentral:lncRNA from 1 species